GUUACGCUAAUACCGCAUAUUCUGUGAGCAGGAAAGCAGGGGAUCGCAAGACCUUGCGCUGAUUGAGCGGCCGAUAUCAGAUUAGCUAGUUGGUGAGGUAAAGGCUCACCAAGGCGACGAUCUGUAGCGGGUCUGAGAGGAUGAUCCGCCACACUGGAACUGAGACACGGUCCAGACUCCUACGGGAGGCAGCAGUGGGGAAUUUUGGACAAUGGGCGCAAGCCUGAUCCAGCCAUGCCGCGUGAGUGAAGAAGGCCUUCGGGUUGUAAAGCUCUUUCGGCCGGGAAGAAAUCGCACAGGUUAAUACCCUGUGUGGAUGACGGUACCGGAAUAAGAAGCACCGGCUAACUACGUG
rnacentral:rRNA from 1 species